GAUGAACGCUGGCGGCGUGCCUAAUACAUGCAAGUCGAGCGAACAGAUGAGGAGCUUGCUCCUCUGACGUUAGCGGCGGACGGGUGAGUAACACGUGGAUAACCUACCUAUAAGACUGGGAUAACUUCGGGAAACCGGAGCUAAUACCGGAUAAUAUAUUGAACCGCAUGGUUCAAUAGUGAAAGACGGUUUUGCUGUCACUUAUAGAUGGAUCCGCGCCGCAUUAGCUAGUUGGUAAGGUAACGGCUUACCAAGGCAACGAUGCGUAGCCGACCUAGAGGGUGAUCGGCCACACUGGAACUGAGACACGGUCCAGACUCCUACGGGAGGCAGCAGUAGGGAAUCUUCCGCAAUGGGCGAAAGCCUGACGGAGCAACGCCGCGUGAGUGAUGAAGGUCUUCGGAUCGUAAAACUCUGUUAUUAGGGAAGAACAAAUGUGUAAGUAACUAUGCACGUCUUGACGGUACCUAAUCAGAAAGCCACGGCUAACUACGUG
rnacentral:rRNA from 1 species